rnacentral:rRNA from 1 species
CCUACGGGUGGCAGCAGUGAGGAAUAUUGGUCAAUGGGCGCGAGCCUGAACCAGCCAAGUAGCGUGAAGGAUGACUGCUCUACGGGUUGUAAACUUCUUUUAUAAAGGAAUAAAGUGAGGCAUGUGUGCCUUUUUGUAUGUACUUUAUGACUAAGGAUCGGCUAAGUCCGUGCCAGCAGCCGAGGUAAUCUGGAGGAUCCGAGCGUUAUCCGGAUUUAUUGGGUGUAAAGGGAGCGUAGAGGGGUUGUUAAGUCCGUUGUGAAAGUUUGCGGCUCAACCGUAAAAUUGCAAUUGAUACUGGCAGCCUUGAGUACAGUUGAGGUAGGCGGAAUUCGUGGUGUAGCGGUGAAAUGCUUAGAUAUCACGAAGAACUCCGAUUGCGAAGGUAGCCUACUAGACUGCCACUGACAUUGAUGCUCGAAAGUGUGGGUAUCAAACAGGAUUAGAUACCCUUGUAGUC